GACAGAGGUGCCGAGCGUUAGGCGGAAUCACUGGGCUUAAAGCGUGUGUAGGCGGACUUCUAAGUACCUUGUGAAAUCCCACGGCUCAACCGUGGAACUGCUCGGUAUACUGGCGGUCUUGAGCAGUUCAGGGGCAGAUGGAACAAGUGGUGGAGCGGUGAAAUGCGUAGAUAUCACUUGGAACGCCAACGGUGAAGACAGUCUGCUGGGAACUUGCUGACGCUGAGACACGAAAGCCAGGGGAGCGAACGGG
rnacentral:rRNA from 1 species